CCUAGCAGCAGCCGCUGUGCACUCAUCCCUUCUCUGUUUUCUCUUUCAAGUUCAAGUCCCAAACUUUCUCUUCUAAUUUCUUCUACUCUCAUUUUUUGUUUGUGAAUUCUUCUUGUUCCUCUCCAACAAUUUUUUUUCUACUCUAUGUCUCUCAAAACAACUCUAUAUAUUUGCAGAUCUAAAUGUUUGUCAUUGCUUUUGUUUGUUUGAAUUUUUUACAGAUCCGGAUUUUUUAGUUUUUGAUAUGUUAUUCUAUUUUUCUAGAGAAGAUUGGUUACUUUGUUUGAUUUUUUUCUUUCUCAUCUUUCUUCUUAUUCAUGACCCGUACAGACCAAACCGAAUGAUUCGAUGAACCCGAAAAACCGCAGCCCGAAAAACCGAAAUAAAAUAUCGGUCGAUAUGGACCUUGUAAUAACACACGUGGUUUGGGUCGGAUGGACAUUUUGGGCCCACCCUGACCCAUUGUCCACCCCUACAAACCACUACCAGUCUCCUUCAUUAUUCAUUAUUCAUUUCCAAAGUUAGAAAACAACCUUUUACUCUUCUCUCUCACGCAAAAGCUUCAGCAACAACAACAAAAUCAUUUUACUCCAUUUUGGAAGCUUUGAGCCUUGCGUGUGUCUCUACACACAUGUUCUUCCAUCUUAAUCAAUCUCCCAAAGAAGAAGCUUCACUCAUCUCUUCCCUUGCAGCCAUAUCCAACAAAUUUCCAAACUCUCACAAAUAACCUAUUUCUAGUCAUGCAUGUUUGAGAUUGUUCUUUAGAUUCAAGAUUUGAAGUGAUGUAAUCUAAGUCCUAGCCACUGCAUGUGUAGACCCCUCUUGGAUUGAGAUGUUUGUUCAAAAAUCUAAGAGUUAGAGAGAAGAAUUAGCACUGAAUAAGUAUGUUAGAGCAGAAGAACAUGGGCACAAGAUGGAAGCUUGAAGUUUUGAUUGUGGAUUUUUGAAGAAAUUUGGGUUAAACCCGUAUUCAAGGACAGACCUUCCCUAAAAAGUUUUAUAAUUUUUGGACGAGGGAUGAGGUUGGUAGCCAUUUUUGAAGUUGGAAGUCAGUAGAAGGAAUUGUGCAGAAAAUCUGAUUUUUUUUUUGUUUUUAUGGGCUACGGGUUUGCAUUUUGAGCGGCUCAAACGGAUGAUUAUAAGCGUGUGAAACAGUUCGGAAUUGCUAUCAAUUCAGGUGGGUUCCCUUAAGUUCAAUUUCACCUUAAUAGAGUAGUUCAUAGUUUUCCCCAAAUAUUAAACUAUGCAUGACAACUUAAGUUUGGUUAUGUUUAGGAUUAAAUUAGAAUAACUCAUUAACUGAUUAAUUAACCACUUAAAUAAGCCCUGCAUGUUGAAUUGACUGUAAUAUGUGGAAUUUAGUACGAAGUAUAAUUAUAUAAGCUGAAUUGGACAUAAACACUAUGUUGAGUUAUGCAGGAUUCCGUGGUUGAAUCGGCUCAACCAGAGCUUGCAUUGAUCCAUAAGUUUCCUUGUGAAGCAAAAAUGUGUCUUAUGCGCCUCAUGAGCCGGUUCAUGCCUUGAAUGAGCCUGUGCAUAAGCGCAUAAUGUAUUUUAUUAAAAUCUGGGAAAUGUUGCAUCGGUACAAACGUUGUGUGAACCGGCUUAAGCAUGUCCUGGGUGAGUUUGAAUUUCUACAAGGCAAACUUGUGUCGAUGCAUAUAAGUCAAAUAUCUUGCUUUCUUAAAAACUGGAUUAUAUGCAUCGGUACAUAGAACCCUUGAACCGGUGCAAACAAAAUAAUUUACUAAAAACCUUUUGGCUUAUAUAUAGGAGGUAUAAUAACCGUUUUAUUUCAACUGAAAAUCCUCCAUUAUGAACAUUAUUUUAUAAAAACUAUAAGUGACUAGAAUUCCACGAUUACGGACUUUCGUACAUGUAUUAAAAUCAGUUAGACAAUUGAAUCAGGAUAUUCAGGAUUGUUAGAAAUACCCUCGAGAAGGUUUUCUUUUCUUUGUGCAGGAUAACCAUUCAAGAUUAUGAACAUUAGUUACCAUGUCAUGAGAAUCAUUUCAGAAUCCGAGAAAUUUAAUAAGAACUGCAAGCUGAGGUGGAACCCGACGUAUAUUAUUAUCGGUAGUACGAGGACUAGGCACUCCGGGACCCGCUUGCCUCGAAGUGACCCUAUGCGGAUAAUAUUGACAAGAUAAUAAUAAGCGGUACACCUUUACUGCUUUAUAUUAUUAUGUUAUGAAUUAUGUCAAGAUUAGUACUAUUAGAAGUUCAGGAUCAGGUUAUGUUAGAAACUAUUAGUUUUAGUUCCCCUGGUGUAGUCACCAGUAGUUGGGUAGUAGGAACUCACUGAGGCUUAGUAGUGUCAUCCCACGCCCUUCAAUUUUUUUUAGGUAAAUAGGUUAACCUGAGCAAGGACCAGACAGGAACCGAUGAUCGACGUUGCGCUUGGAUUAUCGGAUUAGAAGACUUUCGUUAAGCUGUUAAGUUGGGAUACAAUUUGUUAAGUUGUUAAGUUGAGAUACAAUUCUCUUUCGUUUGUAUUGUACUGGAUUUUCACAUUGUUCUUGUGAUAUCUUGUAAAUUCAAUAAAUUAUUUUUGAAUUUUAAGGUGCUCGGAUUUCAAUUAUUAAAUAUUCUAGUCAAUUUAGUUGGGGUUUCACAUCAGGAGGCAUUAAGACGCUUCCCUGGAAUUGAAAAUGUCUUCUCCAAGCUUUUUGUUUUUGUUGAAGAGGUCAAAAUGGAAUACAAUCAGUCGAAACCCAUAUAUAGCAAUGGAGUCAACCACCAACAAUGAAAAUUUGAGACUAAAGUUACAUUUGUCGAGUUCAAUCACCAAUAAGAAAA